UGCUUGCUAUCCAGAUAAAAUUAUGAGAUAGUUCAGCUCCUACUGUAUUACUGAUGUCACUGAUCUUCUCUUCUGGGUGUUCAACCAUCAAAGGGCAGAGACUAACACUAAAAGAUAACUGGGCUAAGAAGAACACCAAUAUUUUGGACCUGGCCCUCCAAGGUCAUCAAAGAUCCAAGGAAUGCGUGAGGGCAUUUACCAACCAGGCAGUCAUGGAACUCAUCACGGUGGGAUACUGGAUGCUGCAGCAGAGGGAAGAAGCUCCACCUACUGCUGUCCCCAUCAGAUCUGUUUAACCCCAACCUUCACCCCUUUGUCAGCUUGAAGCAGCUCCAGAAGGAGAGACCUUCACCCAACACCCAUAAGACAAAAAGCCUGGAAUGUCAGGUUUCCCUUGCCUUAAGAUGGAUGCCACAGAGAACAGCAGUCACAUUAAAAUAUGACUUCUUCCAACAAAGGACAGGCUUCUUCUUCCCAGCACGCCUCUUCUCCCACCAAAAGAAUAAGCUAAUACUUGCUACCUUCUAACAGCUAGCGAUGUCACA
rnacentral:lncRNA from 1 species